UCCAACACAUUCAUACUCCCCACAUAAUGGAAUCAGGUUUAUUGGGCACAGCAACCAACAAUGUUAUGGCUAUGGGAAUCAAUCUAGGGAGAUGUGAUCAAUUUCUAAACAAUUCAGUUGUUGUUAUUUUAGAAAUCAAUAAAAAUCGAAGAUCAGUGCUGAAUAAAAACAAGAAAAUUUCAGUAAAACCGAUGGAUGCUCCCCGAAACAAGUCAACAGGGCAAAAUUUUCCAAGAGGCAUAACUGUGCGAAUAAGCAGUGAACCGGGAAAGUGUCAACGAUAUGCGCAUCUCCACUUGAUAGUGAAGCUAUCAAUCAAGUUUUGUUUAAAUGUGAGCAGCGGUUCUUGAGAAAUAGCGCGGACAAGAAUAAAGUAUAUAGUUAUAGUUGCAAAUCUUCCAAGGGGCAUAACUGUGUGAAUAAGCAGCGAACAGGAACGUGCCGACAAUAUGCGCAUCUCCACUUGAUAGUGAAGCUAUCCAUCAAGUUUUGUUUAAAUGUGAGCAGCGGUUCUUGAGAAUAGCGUGGACAAGAAUAAAUCAAGGGAGAGAAGUCAGUAUGCUUUGUUUUAAAGUACUCAUUCAAUAUGUUUAGCAAUGUUUCUAGAGAUGCUGGCAGCACCUGCUUAUUCUUGUCCAC
rnacentral:sRNA from 1 species